AGUCUUUGAAGGCUCUUAAAGGUGCCCUGCUGGUGGAACGUGUUGAACUAAAGGACGAUCAUGUUCUGGUGUACAUACAGGAGUUAAUAAAGGAUAUACCCAUCAACCACAGCUUAGACCUCAUACAGGAGCUCCCAGUGAAGAACCUGAAGCCAGCUGAAGAGCGCCG